UUCGUCGCCAACGAGAAAUUGGGCAGAUGAAUUCCCUUAGGCACAGGGAGAUGACGUGGUUAACUCAAGGUCACAGUGUCAAGGAUGGAACCCAGACCUCCUUAUUUCUUAUGGGUACCUCUGGUGAUCCUGAGAUCUGGCAGAAAGGGCGCUGGACUAUUCACUUCUUCAGACACCACCCAUUUUACAGAUGAAGCCACUGAGAUAAUGGAGCAACUGACUAGUCACCACCCCACCUCUGGAGCCUCACACAGGACUCUUCUCCUCCCACUUGAAUGACGCAGGUGAGACAGGUCUUGUCACUGUAACAUAAUAGUUGAGAAUGUGAUUCUGGAGUCAGCCUUCUGGGGUGUGAAUUCUGACUCAGCCACUUACUGUGUGUCCUUGGGUAAGGAAAUGGAGGCCCAGAAUGGUCAAAUAUUUGGAGAUCUCUCAAGGCCACUGCUCUGCUGGCUGGGCACUUACCCUGAAGCUCCUGCUGUUGCUGUUGUCAGCUCUCCACAUUCACCACAGCCGUCAGCUUCUGGUAGUGCUGGGGCUGAGCUGCUGGAAUGGCUCCUUUGUGUCACAGCAGGCCCAGCCUUUUCCCCAUCCUUGCCCACUUCACAUCCUGAAGCAGAAACUCUUCUCAUGAGGUUUCUGGCUAUAGCCUGAUCGUUUCACCAGGUCUCUUACUGACUCCAACCCUUUAGGCUUUACUUUUCAUUUCCAUGCAUUGUCAGAGAAGUGUGGGUGACAUUUGAGGGGAGGGUCACCCAGCUCCUGGCAAUUGAAUUAUGCUUCUCAUUUCUGGCCCGCUUAUGCUUCCAAGAAUUUGUCAGUAGACAAUUCAAGUCUUUAUUUUUCUUUGGAGCUUUUAAGAUCUCACACAUAGCUCAUAUGGCACAUAUCACAGUUCAUGGCUGUGAGCAGAAAAGGAGCUGCUUCCUGGUAGCACUGUCUGUGGCUGCCCCGGUCACCUGCGCUUGAUGAACACAAAUCACCACAGUGCCUCUCUCCCCUACCACUGGGAAUGGUGGGGAUGAGGACAUUAUUUGACCCAGCUCUUCAGUGUAGCUCCUUGUCAGCCCAUGGUCUCUUUUGCUGGCAUCCCAGGAGAGAUUUCCUCCUCCUGCAUCCUGUUGCUGGCUCUGGAAUCUCGUCUAUUUUCCACUAUAGACCUUUUUUGCUUUGGAUCCUGCUCUUAUUGUCAGCUCCUCUCACUAGACUGAACUUUGGGAACUCGGGAACCAUAUAUUUUUUUUAA